ACUGCCGGAGACAUUGUUGAAGUUCGUGAGGGCAAGUUAUAUGUGAAUGGAGCUGUUCAAGAUGAGGAUUUCAUUCUAGAGCCACUUGCUUAUGAGAUGGAACCAGUGCUUGUACCAGAAGGUUAUGUCUUUGUGAUGGGAGACAAUCGCAAUAACAGUUUUGAUUCCCACAACUGGGGUCCGCUUCCUGUCGAAAACAUUGUUGGUAGGUCAGUGUUUCGCUAUUGGCCUCCCUCCAAAGUAUCCAACACCAUAUAUGAUCCUAAUGCUGAAAAGAACACUGCUGCAAUAUCUUGACGCAAUUGCCCUCUGCUUGCAGAGGGAGGAUGCCGGAUAAUUUAUUCAUUCUGAUGGUGAUUUGAUAAAGGAUUUUGCAAUAUGUAUCUCUUUACUGAAAUCAUCUUUUCAAAAUCUUGCAAA
rnacentral:misc_RNA from 1 species